GAUGAAGAACGUAGCGAAACGCGAUAAGUAAUGUGAAUUGCAGAAUCCAGUGAAUCAUCGAAUCUUUGAACGCACAUUGCGCCCGCCAGCAUUCUGGCGGGCAUGCCUGUUCGAGCGUCAUUACGCCCCUCAAGUCCCCUGUGGACUUGGUGUUGGGGAUCGGCGAGGCUGGUUUUCCAGCACAGCCGUCCCUUAAAUUAAUUGGCGGUCUCGCCGUGGCCCUCCUCUGCGCAGUAGUAAAACACUCGCAACAGGAGCCCGGCGCGGUCCACUGCCGUAAAACCCCCCAACUUUUUAUAGUUGACCUCGAAUCAGGUAGGACUACCCGCUGAACUUAAGCAUAUCAAUAAGCGGAGGA
rnacentral:misc_RNA from 1 species